rnacentral:lncRNA from 1 species
CUUGGUAAAUUACGUCAUCCAAUUAUUAAUCUUAUUUAUUGUAAAAAGUUUUUAUUGUAGUAGUGGAUGAACAACUCUGAAGAGCCAUAGAAUUUUUUUUCUAAGGAUAAGCUUCGAUGACGGAUUGAACUGCACGUAUAGGUUUAACGUUGAAUCGUGUAAAACCAGAUUGUCGAAGAACAUAGCUCCAUUCCUUUAAGGUCCUCUCUUUCCCUUUAUUAGUAAUAGCCAUCAUCGUCAUGUCUAGCAUCAACCCUACGGCACCUAGCUCGUCGCCUUCUUUAUCUUCUUCAAGAACUGCUUCAACGAUUAUAACCUUCCCUUUAUCUUCUGGAAUGGCUUCUCGACAUUUUUUUAAGAUUUUAAUGCAUUCCUCGUCGUCCCAAUCAUGCAAUACCCACUGCAAUGUGACACGUAUGGAUUAAUCGUAUAAGACCAUAUAAUGAAGGGAAAGAAAGUACUAACCAUAAAAAACGCUGCGUCGGCGUUUGGGAUAGACAUGAACAUGUCUCCUCCUACGUUUUCAAUGCUAUCGGAUUUUGCUGAAACGGCGACGACAUGAGGGAGAUCAAAGUUGAUGCCUCGAAUCCAUGGGAAUGCCUUGACUAAAAGGCUCAAAGCAGUCCCGUUACCACCACCGACAUCGACCAGGCUUUCGACUCCGUCGAACACUUCGGGACAUCCUUCGAUUGUCGCCUGCACCGUCAGUCUAGCAUCGCAACCCAUGGCGUUGUUAAAGAGUUCUCUAAAGUCGGGGUUCGCCUCGGCGUAGCUCCAUAGAUCUUUCCCAUUUGCUACUUCAAAUGGUGAGAUAUUAUUGCCGGUUUCAAGGACUCGAGCACUAAGACUAUGCCAUGGUGCUAACCAAGUAGGGCUGGACACGAACAAUAUUAAAGCAGCCAUGGAUUUUUCUCCACGUUUUAUCAAAAGACGAGACAAUGGCGUCGAUGAGAAGCCUACAGUGUGGUGGUUGAUGUGCUCUUGUUUGAAUAUUCGGUCGUGGACCAUGAACCUCAUAAUGCGAUGAAGACGCGACGGUUCGCAUCGGAGGGCAGUGGCUAGCUCGGAUAGUGGCAUAGGGCUUCCAUAGUUUUCAAUAGUGUCGGCAAUCCCAAGCUCAAUGGCACAUUUAACGACAGCUAUUUUAGCAUAUCCUAACACAUAAUUCCAAAUCUUUAUUUCAGCUCUAGCUUCUUCCUUUACUGUCACUUCCAUAUCUCCCAUCUCAACUUUUUUUUUUAUUUUUUUUUAUUUUAGAACUUUUGGCAACUCUAUGCCCAAAUCUUGACCACGAAGCUACGAUUUAUAGAAGCAAAGGUAUUGGUUUGAACUAGGUCACAGUUCUUGAAUUUGAAAAUAUCUUGUCAAAUAUGCUCCUAACCACAAAACAAUUAUUAGAUUAAUUUGGUAAAAAAAUUACAGUCCAAUUAUUUGAGGUGUACCAAAUAGUAUAUGUAACUUAGAUUUUGGUUAACUUUUACCAUAGUACUUCAAUAGCAAUUUAUGAAUUUAAUCUUUAUAUUUUUUUAUUGAUUAAUUUCUAUCACAUUUCAAAAAUCGAGCUAAAAAAAAUUGGAUUAAUGGAUCAAGAAUUAACACGUCAUGACUUUUAAUUAAAACUUUGUAAAAUUAUGAUAAAAAUGAAUUAUCAACUAAGAAGAGAGUCUAAUUGACUUAGAGACUUGAGUUAUGUUUCGUGGGAUAUUCUCACAUUUUUCUGCCAUUCACUUCUACUUUAUUUAUGUGGUAAUGGGUGUAUGUGUGUGAUAGUGGGAUUGAUGGGUUUUUUUAACCAACUUUAUUCAGGAUCUUUCAUUUUCUGGACACUUUUACCCAAAAUCAGACACAGCUCAUCAUCUCAUAUUAUCUAAAAUUGUGUGGUAUAUAUGUUUAUAGGGUCAACUCAAAAAAAUAUUUUAAGAAAAUAAUAAUAAUUUUUGAAAAAUAAAAAUACAAUUUUAUAAAUUAUUGUUAUUUUAUCUUUUUUUUUCGUGUUUGUCUUCGUCCAUAAUGUUUAUCGAUGCUUAUCAGAUUAUUUACCCUAAAUAUUUAUUGUCACUCUUCCAGUAUAAGACUUAUUUCAUUCGAACUUUAAUUGGUUAAAACUUAAAAUGAAAUAUUAUUAUAUUAGAGAGAUUUAUUAUUGUUUAAAUUUGAAUAUAUUUUAAUUUUUAAUCUAUUAUAUUUUUGAAUUGAUUUAUUCUAAUUCUAAUUGAUCAAAUAUGUAUUAUUUGUAACUUUUACUAAAAUUUUUUUAAUACGAUACAUUAUGUUCGUACCCUUUAAAAUUUUUUUGAAAAAUUUUAAAAAUAGAAUAUAGUAUAAUCAAGUACGACCACGUAUGUAUGAUGAUAUAUAAGGAAUUAUAAAGUUGAAUUAAACUAAUAUAAACUGCAAAUAAAUUAAGAAUCGGAAUAAUUUGAACUAAAAACGACGUAGAACAAUUGUGCAGGAAGAGAUUCAGACUUUAGUACACAAAAUCUAAGACCUUGACCUUUAUCAACAACUUCGAAACUUACUUUAUCCGGAUCAAAAUAACAAUCAUAUUUUAAUUGUUUUUUGCAUUCAAUCAAAAAUUAUUCCAGAGAUAGAAUUGAAGAUUGAAAUAAUUAUUGAACAAAGGGAAUUACUAAACGAAGAGCAAGACUGAAACAUUUCUCAUGCAACAAAGUUUUAAUUGUUUUGUAGAAGUGGAUGAACGACUGUGAAGAGCCAUAGAUGUUGUUUUCUAAGGAUAACCCUCGAUGACGGAUUGAACUGCACGUAUGGGAUUAACAGUGAAUCAUUUAAAACCAGAUUGUCGAAGAACAUAGCUCCAUUCCUUUAAGGUCCUCUCUUUCCCUUUAUCAAUAUGAGCCAUCAUCGCCAUGUCUAGCAUCAACCCCACGAAACCUAGCUCGUCGUCUUCUUUAUCUUCUUCAAGAGCUGCUUCAACGAUUAUAACCUUCCCUUUAUCUUCUGGAAUGGCUUCUCGACAUUUUUUUAGGAUUUUAAUGCAUUCCUCGUCGUCCCAAUCAUGCAAUAUCCACUGCAAUUUGCAAUGUAUGGAUUAAUCGUAUAAGACCAUAUAAUGAAGGGAAAAAAAGUACUAACCAUUAAAAACGCUGCGUCGGCGUUUGGGAUAGACAUGAACAUGUCGCCUCCUACGUUUUCAAUGCUACCGGAUUUUGGUGCAACGGCAACGACAUGAGGGAGAUCAAAGUUGAUGCCUCGAAUCCAAGGGAAUGCCUUGACUAAAAGGCUCAAAGUAGUCACGUUACCACCACCGACAUCGACCAGGCUUUCGACUCCGUCGAACACUUCGGGACAUCCUUCGAUUGUCGCCUGCACCGCCAGUCUAGCAUCGCAACCCAUGGCAUCGUUGAAGAGUUAUCUAUGGCCGGGGUUUGUCUCGAACUAGCUCCAUGGAUCUUUCCCGUUCGCAGCUUCAAAUGGUGAGAUAUCAUUGCCGGUUUCAAGGACUCGAGCACUAAGACUAUGCCAUGGUGCUAACCAAGUCGGGCUGGACUCGAGCAAUAUAAAAGGGCCCAUGGAUUUUUCUCCAUCUUUUAUCAAACGACGAGACAAUGGCGUAGAUGAGAAGCCUACAGUGUGUUGGUUGAUGGGUUCCUGUUUGAAUAUUCGGUCGUGGACCAUGAACCUCAUAAUGCGAUAAAGACGCGACGGUUCGCAUCGGAGGGCAGUGGCUAGCUCGGAUAGUGGCAUAGGGCUUCCAUAGUUUUCAAUAACAUUGGCAAUCCCAAGCUCAAUGGCACAUUUAACGACAGCUAUUUUAGCAUACCCGAACACAUAAUUCCAAAUAUCUACUUCAGCUCUAGCUUCUUCUUCUUCGAUUCCACUCACUUCCAUUAUUAUUAUUUUUCUCUUGGAAAACUUUAUAAUUCUAUUCGCAACUCUUGAGGAUGAAAAGUUUUGUUGAAGACCCCGAUUUAUACGAGCAAAGGGUUAGAUUUUCUCUCUUCAAUUUCAGUUUUUUUCCUAAAAUAAAUUAAAUCUAAUUGAAAAUAUCAAAAUUUAGGAGAAAAACUGAUGUGACAUUAUGACAUUAAAUUAUUAAAAAAUGAUACAAAUGGCGUGUGAUUUCAAAUUCAUACAAUCAUGAUGAACAUCCUAAAAUAAUAUAAUUAUCAUGAUAUAACUUGGUGGAACAUUUUUUAAUAUAUAUAUUUAUGUGUUUUUUAAUGGAAUUUUUUUUAAUAUAGUUGUUUCCACCACUGAUUUCCUUUGGAAAAUUUUAGUUAUUAUCGUGAUUAAAAUUGCUUGAUUCUGCUCAACUAAUAAGGGAGAUUUUUUAUAAAUUGUAUUAUUGAACCUAAAAGUUUAACCAUGAAGGAGUGGUUGAAUGACAUUGAAUAAAAAUAAUAAAAGCUUAAUAUAUUAAUUGAUCCUUGAAUUUAACAGUUUUUCUCACAUUAGUUCUUAGAUAUUUCUUUGGAUUAUAUUAGUCUCUAAAUUUGGCAACCAUUACAGACACCAAUUUCUAAGGUUAAGGGUGGGUUUGGAUAGGCGGUACGUUUACUUACGAUUAGUGUAAAAACAGCAGUGGCAGUGAGAUUAGAUACUGUAGCGAUAUUGUAGUGUGAGACAAAAAGUAAGAUAAACGCACCGCACCCAGUCAUCCAUCCAAACUCACCCUAACACCAUUUAGUUUUUAGCAAUUUUGGUGACAUGGACUAAUAUCGUUGUGAUACAUGCUAUAUAUAUAUAUAUAUUCAACUUUCUUUAUAAUAACUACCCAUUAUAACACAACAUUUCGCUAUAACAAUAAAAUUUUUAUCAGAAUUGAUUUUUUAUGUUUUAUUUUAACCUUCUAUAAUAAUUUUUCACUUAUAACAAUAAUAGCUAUAAUUAUGAAGUACAUCCUUUGUUAAAUCAGUUCUUUAAAACAACACCUUGCUUAAAAUUUUAAGUAAAACUAUAACUAUUCAUAUAAGCAAACCUAUUACUUAGAAUUUGAUCUUCUUCUUUUGUUCUUUUCCUUUUUCUUUCUUUUAAUUUUACAUUUUUUUAUAACAUUGAGAGUUAAUCUUAAAAGAAAGAAUAACAAUAAAAGUUAUUAUUUAGAAUUUUUGGGUGUUUUCAUUUUUUUUUGUUUAUUUUCAAUCAAAUUUAGCUAAUAAAUUAGACUUUUAGCUUUUUAGGUGAAAAGAUCAGAAGAACAACAAAAUUACAAAAAAAAGACCAAAUUACACAAUGUGUAAACAUUGAGGGUUAGAUUGUUUAGAAUCAAGACUAAUUUGACCCAAUAUAUAAAUGUUAAAGAUUAAGGUUGCCAUUAUGCCAAUUUUAGAAGCUACCACCGCUAGCUUGUUGGUGACAAAAAAUGAUAAAAUUUAAUAAUUAAAUAACUAUUUUAUAACUUUUUAUAAUUGGGUGAUCAAAAUAAAAUUUACUAAUAUUUAAGUGAAUACUAAUUAAUUUAUUUAUUUUUCAUUUCGAUAAACAAACAAAUCGUGGACCAUAGAAUUUAAUCUCUCUUCACAAAAUCAGACAUGGGUUCUUUCUUUGGACAAUGGUUACCCAAAAUAGAGAAAAAUUUUCACAUAAAUGUUCGAUAUGAUUAGUGCCCCCACUAAACAGCUCAUCAUCUCAUAUUUAUCUAAAAUUGUGGUAUAAAUGUUUAUAGGGGUUAUGGGACAUCUCAAAUGGAUUAACGCUUCUUUUGGAGAGGAGUUAUGACUUUGUAAUAAUCCAAACAGACAGUAUAGAGGCCGUUCAAGUUAUUAAAGACUAGGCUUGUAAGGACUUGGACUCAACUUUAAUAAGAAGAAAUCAUCAAAUUUUGUCUAGUAUUAGACAUUGGGACAUUUGUCACAUUCCGAAGUCGAUGAAAUUGCUAAACUAGUUCAAGAAAUGAGGGAAUGUCUUUCAAGUGUUUGAAGUGUCCCCAUUGGGAAGUUUUAUUUUAUCGUAAUUUUUUAGGUUUUGUAUUUUCACCAAAUUUUUUUUAAGAAAAUAGAAAAUAAUAAUAAUUUUUGAAAACUCAAAGUACAAUUAUAUUAAAUUUGUGAUUUCAUCCAUAAUGUUAUUCAUAUCUAUCUAAUUAUUUGUCCUAAUCAUCCGAAAUUUAGGCCUAGUUUGGAUUGGUGGUACGUUUAACUGUAGUUAGUGUAAACAUAACGGUGGCGAUGAUAUUAGAUACUGUAGCGUGAGACAAAAAAUAAAUUAAAAGCACCGCACCCAAUCACCCAUCUAAAUCCACCUUAGUUAGUUACAAUCUAAAAUGAAAUAUAUAUUAAUAUAAUAAUAUAUUAUAUUGGUGUUUUGUUCAGUUUUAUUAUGGUUUAAAUUCAAAUAUAUUUCAAAUUUCAAUCUAUUAUAUUUUAUAUUGAGUUAUUCUAAUUUUAAUUGAUCAAAUAUGUAUUAUUUGUAACUUAUACUAAGCUUCUUCUUUUUUAAGUAACUCAUACUAUAUUUGUAGUUAUAAAUUCUUUCAAAAAAAUAAAUUAGGAUUCAUUAUAACAACACAAGCCAUGUUUUAAUAGAGCGUAUUACGAACUCAAAUCCUUUGAAUUUUUUUGAAAAAGUUUACAACUAGAAUAUAGUAAAUCAAGUACAACACAAUUAUAAAGUUGAAUUGAAUCAAUAUAAAUUACAAACAGAUUAAGAACGGGAAUAAAUUAAAUUAAAAUUCACACGUGACAAUUGCGUAUGAUGAGACUCAAGUUUUGGUAUACAAGACUCAAAAUCUCGACUUUUACCAACAAUGCCAAAACUUAUUCGACAGACAAUUCAAACCUCUUAUCCGAUAUCAAAAUACCAGUUGUAUUUUAAUUAUUUUUCACAAUCAAUCUAAAACUAUUCCAGAGGUAGAAUUAAAAUUGGUAUCAGUUUUAAAUAAAACCGGAUUAAUUGAUAUAUUGAUUCCAACAGAAUGAUUUUAAAGAAAACCACUCAAAACCAAGAUUUAUUGUAGUAGUGGAUGAACAACUGUGAAGAGCCAUAGAAUUUUUUUUUUCUAAGGAUAAGCUUCGAUGACGGAUUGAACUGCACGUAUAGGUUUAACGUUGAAUCGUGUAAAACCAGAUUGUCGAAGAACAUAGCUCCAUUCCUUUAAGGUCCUCUCUUUCCCUUUAUUAGUAACACCCAUCAUCGUCAUGUCUAGCAUCAACCCUACGCCACCUAGCUCGUCGCCUUCUUUAUCUUCUUCAAGAACUGCUUCAACGAUUAUAACCUUCCCUUUAUCUUCUGGAAUGGCUUCUCGACAUUUUUUUAGGAUUUUAAUGCAUUCCUCGUCGUCCCAAUCAUGCAAUACCCACUGCAAUGUGCCAUGUAUGGAUUAAUCGUAUAAGACCAUAUAAUGAAGGGAAAGAAAGUACUAACCAUGAAAAACGCUGCGUCGGCAUUUGGGAUAGACAUGAACAUGUCUCCUCCUACGUUUUCAAUGCUAUCGGAUUUUGCUGAAACGGCGACGACAUGAGGGAGAUCAAAGUUGAUGCCUCGAAUCCAUGGGAAUGCCUUGACUAAAAGGCUCAAAGCAGUCCCGUUACCACCACCGACAUCGACCAGGCUUUCGACUCCAUCAAACACUUCGGGACAUCCUUCGAUUGUCGCCUGCACCGUCAGUCUAGCAUCGCAACCCAUGGCGUUGUUAAAGAGUUCUCUAAAGUCGGGGUUCGCCUCGGCGUAGCUCCAUAGAUCUUUCCCAUUUGCUACUUCAAAUGGUGAGAUAUUAUUGCCGGUUUCAAGGACUCGAGCACUAAGACUAUGCCAGGGUGCUAAGCCAGUCGGGCUGGACAUGAGCAAUAUGAAAGCAGCCAUGGAUUUUUCUCCACCUUUUAUCAAAUGACGGGACAAUGGCGUCGAUGAGAAGCCUACGGUGUGUUGGUUGAUGGGUUCUUGUUUGAAUAUUCGGUCGUGGACCAUGAACCUCAUAAUGCGAUAAAGACGUGACGGUUCGCAUCGGAGGGCAGUGGCUAGCUCGGAGAGUGGCAUAGGGCUUCCAUAGUUUUCAAUAACGUCGGCAAUUCCAAGCUCAAUGGCACAUUUAACGACAGCUAUUUUAACAUAUCCUAACACAUAAUUCCAAAUCUUUAUUUCAGCUCUAGCUUCUUCCUCUAUUGUCACUUCCAUAUCUCCUAUCUCAACUUUUUCUUUUAAAAUUUUGUUAUUUUAGAACUUUUGGUAACUCUAUGCCCAAAUCUUGACUAUGAAGCUACGAUUUAUAGAAGCAAAGGUAUUGGUUUGAACUAGGUCACAGUUCUUGAAUUUGAAAAUAUCUUGUCAAAUAUGCUCCUAACCACAAAACAAUUAUUAGAUUAAUUUGGUAAAAAAAUUACAGUCCAAUUAUUUGAGGUGUACCAAAUAGUAUAUGUAACUUAGAUUUUGGUUAACUUUUACCAUAGUACUUCAAUAGCAAUUUAUAAAUUUAAUCUUUAUAUUUUUUUAUUGAUUAAUUUCUAUCACAUUUCAAAAAUCGAGCUAAAAAAAAUUGGAUUAAUGGAUCAAGAAUUAACACGUCAUGACUUUUAAUUAAAACUUUGUAAAAUUAUGAUAAAAAUGAAUUAUCAACUAAGAAGAGAGUCUAAUUGACUUAGAGACUUGAGUUAUGUUUCGUGGGAUAUUCUCACAUUUUUCUGCCAUUCACUUCUACUUUAUUUAUGUGGUAAUGGGUGUAUGUGUGUGAUAGUGGGAUUGAUGGGUUUUUUUAACCAACUUUAUUCAGGAUCUUUCAUUUUCUGGACACUUUUACCCAAAAUCAGACACAGCUCAUCAUCUCAUAUUAUCUAAAAUUGUGUGGUAUAUAUGUUUAUAGGGUCAACUCAAAAAAUAUUUUAAGAAAAUAAUAAUAAUUUUUGAAAAAUAAAAAUACAAUUUUAUAAAUUAUUGUUAUUUUAUCUUUUUUUUUCGUGUUUGUCUUCGUCCAUAAUGUUUGUUGACACCAUUUUUUUGGAUGAAAACGGGGUCGACUUGGAUUUUGAAAAAAGAAUGAAAACGGGAGUCGCUACCAAUCUUUUUUUGAUGAGGUGUGAUCGGGUCACCUCGAAAAGUGGUUGUUUUUAAUAAACAAUUUAAUUUUUAUUAAAACAACGAUUUUGGUCUGCGAAAUUCAGAAAAACGGGUUCGGGAGUCGGUUACGCACGAGGAAGGGUUAGCACCCUCGAUACGCCCAAAAUUGGUACCUAGUUGAUUACUUAAUGUCUUGGUGUCGAAAAUUAAAAACUCGAAAAGAAUUUAAAAAUACGAUCCUUAAAAGAAACUCUGAUAACGUGAAUUGAAAUAUAAGACUCUCUUGUUCCGAAUGAAUAUCACAUCCAGCACGUUAGGACACGAUACUCUAAACCAUCGAAACCAAGAUCACCUUAUAGUUUAAUGAAACCAUACUUUGAAGCUUUAAGAGGAUAUUUGGCUAUUUAGUCAAACGAGAAAUCGAAACCCAGCACGUUAGGGCACGUUUUCUCGAGUUUCCAAACGCGAAAUAUUGCCUUAUUUAGAAAAAUCUUAUCUCGAGGUAAUAAGAUGUCAUAUCCGGUGAGUUAGGACACAACACCUCAAAUCUCAGAGAGUAAGCAUUUUAUUUAACACUCGUAUUAUGAUUUUAAAGAAUAUGCCGUUAUUUAGGUUAAACGAGAAAAAUCGAAACCCAGUAAAUUAGGACACGAUUUUCUCGAAUUUCCAAGAACAGAAUAUUGCCUUAUUUUAUUUUUGUAUAUUCAAAUAAAUAUGUAUGCAAUGUUUAAAACCAUGCAUAUCAUUUGAGUUUCAGUGUAAAGAAUGAACCUUUAACAUGGCUCAUGAUGUGAUUGGAAUAAUAAUAGAAUGAUAACACGAAUAAACAACAUAACGACUUAUCUAUAAUAAUAAAACAACGAGUAUGCCGGGGCAAUUAGCAACUAAAUCUAAUAUUAAUUAAACCAUGAUAUACAUAAGAAUAAUAAUGAAAGAAAGUGGAAUAUGUAUAAAAAAUGAAUAUGCAAACAUCAAAAAGAAAUAAAUAAAUAACAAAGAAGGGUUAAAAUAAUAUAACAAUGACGAUAGUAAGAUUUGGUGAAAACAUGAGAUUAUAGACAAUCAUAUUUAAGAAAUAUAUGUAAUAAUGAACAAAAAAAAAUUGAAAUUAUAUAAAUAAAUAAAUCAAACAACUUGAAGUAAUACAAAAUUUAAGGAUAAAUAGGUGUACGUGUAAUAUUACAUUUAGAAAUAAAAAUAGCAAACAAAUAGUUAAAAGUAAUGUUGGAUAAUAAUCUAGGUAGAGUAUUAAAAAGGAAUAAUAAUAAAAAUACUAUGAUAGUAAUGAUGACAAUAUUAAUAAUCAAAUUGCAACAACAAAACGAACAAAGUGGCUCAAAAUAAAAUCAAAAUCAAAAUAGGAGGUGCAUAAUAAUAAAAGGUAAAAUAUAAGAAAUACAUAAUAAUAAUAAUAAUAAUAAUAAUAAUAAUAAUAAUCCGCGUAGUAGAAAACACAAAUAAUCUAAAUUUUAAAAUAUACGUGUAUAUAUAUAGAUAUAUAUAAAAGUACUUAAAUGGAAUAUUAUACAAAAUCUUAGGAUAAUAUAACAUGAAAAUUCUAAAAUAAUGAUUUUUCAACAAGGCAAAACCAAUAAAGCAAUUUUGGCAAAAAGAGAAAAAAAUAAUAAUAAAUAAAUAAAAAUAAUAAUAAUAAAUAAAAAAAUUGAAUGAAUCCUUUUGGAAAUAAGUAUUGAAUAGAUAAUAAGCCUAAUUAAAAUAAAUUUAAAAUAAAAGGGGUAAUCUGAAAAUAAAGAAACCAACAUGGGGGAUCACUGUGUAAUGUGCGCAAAUGCACAAGGACUAAAACUGGAAAUAAUCCAGGUCCCAUAAUGUAGUGCUUAGACGCGGACCGAAUUGCCAACAUGCGUAAAUUUUGAAGCCAAAUAAAAAAAGGAAGUGAAAUAAAUAAGGCAUGGUUGAGUGCUUGCACAAAGGGGGAGGACUCAAUGUGAAAUUCCCCUAUUUUCAACUUAAAAGGCGCAGAUCAGGCCUGUUAAACAAGUUGAAAUGCGGGCCUUCCUUUUCACAAAUAAUUUAAAACCCCUUUUUCAAAUGCAGCCACCUUUUAACUAAAAAAUCUAUAAUCCUAAAAUCAAUUAAACAUUGCAGCAAAAAAAAAGGAAAGAAAAAGGGGAAACCCAAAAUGUUUGCCCCCGUUUGGUCUGCCGUUCAACCACCAUCAGUCCACCAUGAACGAUGGAUGGUGGUCUACCAAAGCGUUCCCCUUAUGCCUUCAUUUAAAGCCCAGCCUCAAGACUCAUCAAUUUCGGCCUCAAAACCCCUCUCAACCUUCGACGCCGGCUAAGAAGACGAGGAUUUGGUGGCUCGUUCGCAAAGUAAGUCUUCUAUCUUCUCUUUAUUAUACUAAAACGCAUGCAGAGCAAAAAAGAAAACAAAAUAGACCUGAGAAAAAUAAUGUACAAGACUUUUGAAAUCUUUUUUUCUUUCUGAUUGCUCUUUUUUUUUUAUGCUUCAAUCUAUGUGUGUAUAAAAAUACAAUGUUUUUUUUUAUUCCCGAAAUUCCCCUAUUUUCAAUCAGUUCCCUCUCCCCAAAAUACCAUCGAUCCCCCUGUACAAUUUUUGAUUCGGGUUUUUAUAACCCAUUUUCAUCUAAUUUCCUAUUGUUUCUGUUUUGUCUCUUUGCAUGGGAUGGGCACGAUGGAGGUGACAGAGGCAUGGGGUGCAGACGGUGAUGGGCAUGCGUGGAGGCUGGCGCGGAGCAGAGGCGUGCGAGGUUGAGUGGUUGCGCACAUGGGGCAACGGCGCAAGUGGGCAAGUGGGGGGUUUGCUGGUAUGGGCCCGGGCAGAUUUUGGGCUUUACAGCUGCCCCUCUUUGCUCGUUGUCGUGUAACGAAAACAGAGCAAAGACCAAGGAAGACCAAAUUUGCCCGGGCUUACCGAGCCUUGGCUUCUUUUGGUACUUUUCUUCUUCAAGUAGCCUCGUUCUGUUCUGCUGUGUCUCGUUGCUUCAAUCCACUUCACUGCGCUCCAGAGAAACAUGACUUAAAUCUAUUUUGCUGCAACUCCAUGGGGAUGAGAUUUGUUGUUUUCUUCGUCUGCUCCACUACUGCUUAGGGAGAUAAGACUGAAUGCGAUCUGCUCCACUACUGCUUAGGGAGAUAAGAUCUGUAAUCUUCAAUCUACUUCAUGCCAAUACAUGAGACAAGAUCUACUUUCUUCGAUCUACUUUACCACCAGUAUGGGAAGACAAGAUCUGUAUCUUGGAUCCACUUCCUAUCAAUAUAGGAAGAUAGGACCUGCUAUCUUCGAUCUACUUCACGCCAAUACAUGAAGACAAGAUCUGCUUUCUGCGAUCUACUUCGCCACCAAUAUGAGAAGACAAGAUCUGCGUCGUCGAUCCACUUCCAAUCAUUAUGGGAAGAUAGGACCUGUUAUCUUUGAUCUACUUCACGCCAAUACAUGAAGACAAGAUCUGCUUUCUGCGAUCUACUUCGCCACCAAUAUGGGAAGACAAGAUCUGCGUCGUCGAUCCACUUCCAAUCAUUAUAGGAAGAUAGGACCUGUUAUCUUUGAUCUACUUCACGCCAAUACAUGAAGACAAGAUCUACUUUCUUCGAUCUACUUCGCCACCAAUAUGGGAAGACAAGAUCUGUAUCUUGGAUCCACUUCCUAUCAAUAUAGGAAGAUAGGACCUGCUAUCUUCGAUCUACCUCACGCCAAUACAUGAAGACAAGAUCUGCUUUCUGCGAUCUACUUCGCCACCAAUAUGGGAAGACAAGAUCUGCGUCGUCGAUCCACUUCCAAUCAUUAUAGGAAGAUAAGACCUGUUAUCUUUGAUCUACUUCACGCCAAUACAUGAAGACAAGAUCUGCUUUCUUUGAUCUACUUCGCCACCAAUAUGGGAAGACAAGAUCUGUAUCUUGGAUCCACUUCCUAUCAAUAUAGGAAGAUAGGACUUGCUAUCUUCGAUCUACUUCACGCCAAUACAUGAAGACAAGAUCUGCUUUCUGCGAUCUACUUCGCCACCAAUAUGGGAAGACAAGAUCUGCGUCGUCGAUCCACUUCCUACCAAUAUAGGAAGAUAGGAUCAGCUAUCUUCGAUCUAUUUCUUGCCCCGGGAGAUAGAACUAUCAGCUUCAAUGUACUCCAUUGUAAUCAGGGAGGUAAAAUCUGCCAUCUUCGAUCUGCUUUGCUGCCAAAUACAGGAAGGCAAGAUCUGCAAUCUUCAAUCUAUUCCACUGCCAAAUACAGGGAGAUAGAGUUAUCGGCUUCAAUGUACUCCCAUGUAGUCAGGGAGGUAAAAUCUGCCAUCUUUGAUCUUCAAUCUAUUCCACUGCCAAAUGCAGAGAGAUAGAGUUAUCGGCUUUAAUGUACUCCACUGUAGUCAGGGAGGUAAAAUCUGCCAUCUUUGAUCUUCAAUCUAUUCCACUGCCAAAUACAGGGAGAUAGAGUUAUCGGCUUCAAUGUACUCCACUGUGGUCAGGGAGGUAAAAUCUGCCAUCUUUGAUCUUCAAUCUAUUCCACUGCCAAAUACAGGGAGAUAGAGUUAUCGGCUUCAAUGUACUCCACUGUGGUCAGGGAGGUAAAAUCUGCCAUCUUUGAUCUUCAAUCUAUUCCACUGCCAAAUGCAGAGAGAUAGAGUUAUUGGCUUCAAUGUACUCCACUGUAGUCACAUGGAGGUAAAAUCUGCCAUCUUUGAUCUGCUUCGCUGCCAAAUACAGGAAGGCAAGAUCUGCAAUCUUCAAUCUAUUCCACUGCCAAAUACAGGGAGAUAGAGUUAUCGGCUUCACUGUACUCCUCUGUAGUCAGGGAGGUAAAAUCUGCCAUCUUCGAUCUGCUUUGCUGCCAAAUACAGAAAGACAAGAUCUGCAAUCUUCAAUCUAUUCCACUGCCAAAUACAGGGAGAUAGAGUUAUCGGCUUCAAUGUACUCCUCUGUAGUCAGGGAGGUAAAAUCUGCCAUCUUUGAUCUGCUUCGCUGCCAAAUACAGGAAAGAAAGAUCUGAUAUCUUCAACCAGCUCUGCUACAAACGAGAGAGGCAAGGUUUGUCUUCGAUCUGCUUCGCUGUCAGUGCAGGAAGGCAAGAUCUGCUAUCUUCAACCAGCUCUACUACAAACGAGAGUGGCAAGGUUUGUCUUUGAUCUGCUUCGCUGUCAAUGCAGGAAGGCAAGAUCUGAUAACUUCAACCAGCUCUGCUACGACCGAGAGAGGCAAGGUUUAUCUUCAAUUUUUACUGAUCUGUUCUCUAGGGAACAUGACAUGUAUAAUGAACCUAAUUAUGCCUAAUGAUUAGGAUGGCAUGAUCAAAAUGAAUCAAAUGCUCCUAACUAGACAUGCGUGAAUGGUAUUUGAAUGAAUGCAGAAUGUCAUGAAAAUAAUUCCUUAAUGCUUAGGUUAUCAUCGCUCAAAAGCUUAUUAAGGCUUUAUCACUAACGUGUCGCAACGCCUUCUUGACCAGCCGGCAUUUCUAAAGAAACACGUAAUCUGAUUGCCCCCACUGUGAACAUCGUAGUUCAAUCCAUUGUGACAUAAAAUUUGUACCAUCAAUCUCCUACUGUAACCCAAGGGUAGAAAGAUAUGGCUUUUUUCAAUCUUCUCCUAUCGUAAUUCAAGGGUAUAAGAUUUAAAUCCUUCUGGUCCCUUACAUCGUUCCCAAGGUGUCGUACCAAAGACUCAUGCGCAAACAAGGGCUCUCCUUCCCGAGGUAACCUCUUCCUAUUGCCUGAAGAUCAUCACUUUCUUGUUUAUUCAAGCUUUGUCACCAACAUGGCAUCUUGUCAAUCAACGCAUUUGACGACAAAAAUCCAAAGAGAAAGUCUAAAUUUAGACUAUUCCUUCCCAAAUUUCCAACCUUUAAAUUUGGAGUGUUCUAAACAAUUAUCCUGCUUCAGGCUCCUAUAUUAUUUAGAAACUUUUCAGAGUAAUAUGCAAAACUUCCUUCGUGAAAAUUUUAUUAGUCCAUUAAUCAUUAUUCCAAUGCAACAUGCUUGCAAAAGAUCAUAACGAUAGAUAAAAUAGAAUUGAUUUGAGAGCAUAGCUCAAAAUGGAUAAACUAUCAAGGAUAGCAAGAAUAAAAGGGGAAUUAAUUGGAAACACGUAUCUUGAAAAAGAAUGAAGUAUUCCAAGAAGAAAAAAAAGAAAAAAAAAGUAUGAGGACAAGAUGCCCCAGAUAUCGUAGCUUGAACUUCUCUGUACCAACUCUUUGAAAGACCAUUCUGUGUUUGACAUGUGUUUAGGAGAUCUACAAGACUUUGUCGAUGCCCCAAGAUGCUACCUACCCUUUCCUGUUGAAUCAGGUAUAGCAAGAUCAUUACAUGCCCCGAUUUGAUCAAAAUUUGAGCUGCUCUGAUCGCCUCAUGCCCCAAUUUGAUCCAAAAUUUGAGUCGCCCUUUUUUUGGGUUUUCAACUCAAGCCCCUUUGGUCUCAAGGCGCCCUUUGCGGGUUUUCACCUUGGCCUCUCCUUUUUUCACUCAUUUUACUUUUCUUCUUUUUCAUUAAUUUUCUCUUUUUUAAGUGAAGUAUUUGUUCCUUGAAUCAAAAUUCUCAAGAUUAGGCAAGUUCUUGCCAUCUAUCUUGGUUAAUACCUACACUCUCCCAGAUAAAGCCUUCCACAUAAGGUCCUUCUGGCUUGGCAUCCACUUUCUUCUGAAGUCUCCUUUGUAUGGGAAGGAUCUUCUUUGAUAUCGGGUCCCCUUUGUGGAAUUCUCUGGAGCAAACCUUGUUUUGGUGAACUCAUACCAUUUGCUUUUGGUACAUUUGACCAUGAUAGAUAUUUUGAACAUUCCUCUUCAACCAGGAUUGGAUCCAAAAACUCAAAGAGAAGGAAAUCUUGACCUCAAUAGGUAAAACCGCGAUAAGCCCAAAAAGAGGGCGUUGCCCUGAGAGAGUUUUUUUUGGCGAUAUGGUGUUAAUCUUGAACAGACUGCAAACUUCUGAUAUUGUGCUCUUGUUCAAAUUUAGUGCAUUGUCAAAUAUGAUCCUUUUCGACUCUUCAAGCUGACGUGAUCUUUUGCUGUCGACUUUGUGACAUUGGCAUAUGAAGCAGCUUCUUCCUGUGAAGAUAAACUGAUGACCGCUAGACUCUUUUGACGAGAUUGACCUAACAACCUUCAUGCCCCACAUAGGGGAAGUCAUGGACUCCAUUGAUUUUUCGUAAGGUGGAAUCUGUUUUUCACCUUGUUCUACCCUCCUCAAUAAGUACGGAGAUAGGCCACAAUCUAUGUCCUCUUCGAAGUCAUGAGAUUCCUCUAAACACAUGUCUCACUCAAAAGGAAGUUCUGAGUCUGUAGCAGUGUCAUUCAUGUCGUUGAUAUUCAGGGACCCGUUGUAGGUGCAAAAGAAUAUACAAAGAAUGUACGAAUUCAAGAAUAAUUAUCUGUACAGCAUGAUUAUGAAUGAAUGAAUGAUUUGGAAGAAAGAAUGAAAGAUUAAAAAUAAUUAUUCAUAAAGAAUGAAAGAAUAUUAGCUCAAAAAUGAUCGCAAAGAUGUAUUAAAAUAACGACGUUCAGACAUGAGCCUAUUUCACAAAAAGAGUUCAUAUUGCUUCAGGCUAAAAGCAACAAGUUUAUUCUGAAUAUUACUCUAAGUAGGUUCUAAAUACUACAGAGACUUCUUUUACAGUCUGAUUUAUUUAGAACACUUCCAAGUUUAUAAGGGUCGACAUCUAACAAAGUCCCUUCUUCAAUUGUGUCUUCAUGCAUGUCAUUGAUGUGAACACUUCCCAACAUCUCUUCAUACGUCGCAUUCACCUUAUUGUCAAUCAUGAUUGGGUAGCAGAUUUUCUGCCGUAGAUGAGUCACCCAACUUGACAAUACCCAUGUUGAUGAGUUUUUCAACUAGUUUCUUGAAGGUGAUGCAAUUCUCUAUUGAGUGCCCCGUAAUUCCUGCGUGGUAGUCACAGUGUGUGUUCGCAUUAUACCACUUUGUAUAUGGAGGUUGUGGGGGUUUUGAGUAGGAAGGGGAAACAACAUGUGCAUCGAAUAAAUUUUGAUACAACUCUUCAUAUGACAUUGGAAUUGGUGUGAACUGGAGGUUCUCAGUACCUGGUUUCACUCCAGGUUCUUGUCUCAAUGAGCCUUGUUGGUUAGCGACCAUUUUUCUUGGCUGAUUCACCGUAAUUGGUUUUGAAUAACCCUUGCUAUAUGUACUCGUGUUGUUCACCUCAUUGUCUUUGUGCUUUGGGGUUGAUCUCUUGAUGCCUUCUUCCGCAUCUAUCUUCCCACUUCUUACUGCAUUUUCAAUCAUUUCACCAGACAUCACUACAUCUGAGAAGCUCAUGGUAGCACUUCCUAACAUGUGGUUAAUGAACGGUGCUUUCAGAGUGUUGAUGAAAAGCAUCGUGGUUUCUUUCUCUAAAAGAGGUGGCUGGACCUGUGUCGCGACCUCUCUCCAUCUUUGGGCAUAUUGCCUAAAGCUCUCACUUUGCUUCUUUUCCAUGUUCUGCAAUGUGAUUCUAUCGGGUGUCAUAUCUGUCACAUGGUUGUACUGCUUUAUGAAAGCCUGUGCUAAGUCCUCCCAUGAAUGGAUGUUGACGCGACUUAACUGGUUGUACCACUUAGCUGCAGACCCGAUCAGACUGUCCUGGAAGCAGUGGAUCAACAGUUGAUCAUUGUUGAUGUAUCCUAUCAUUCUUCGACAGAACAUAGUUAUAUGAGCUUUAGGACAACUAGUCCCGUUGUACUUUUCAAACUCCGGCAUUUUGAAUUUGGGAGGGAGUACUAGAUCAGGUACCAAACUCAAGUCCUUGGCGUCGACUCCACAAUGGUAGUCGGUGUUCUCCAUGGCUCUAAAUUUCUCCUCUAGCCAUCUACAUCGGUCCUCAAGUUGUUUUGACAAGUCUGUUUUUACUUUCUCCAUCUCUGCCAUGUUAUCGAGAUCAGGAAAUACGGGGUUGGUAGGAUUAUCACCGGGAUUAGAACCCGAGCCUAUUGGAAAGUUUAUCGAUGCCGGGGCACCGACCUGGUAUUGGGAUCUAAUGGUAACAGGUGCCCUCUGCGGGUACACCUCUGGUUGCACUUGGAUGUUAGUUGGGGUGAAACCUGGAGGAUAGGCAGGGUCAUCGUGAUCAUCCCCAGCAUCAACUAAAGGGCCUUUUCCUUUUUCAUUCCUUCCAGUCAAUAACUGCUUUAAUUGGUUCAUCACAGUGUUCUGGGAUUCUAACAUGUCUUGCUGAAUUUUUUCCAGUCGUUCGUGCAUCUGAUCUUGCAUCUCUCGUUGCAACUGUUCCAAUCUUUCCAACCUUUGAUCCAUUGUUUUCGUUUGGCGACGAGUACCGUAGUGAUAUUUGAUUAGAUUUUUGUUGGUUUCCAGGGUAACUGAAAUAAUUUUACCUAGUUAGGGUCACUUCGUGAAAGUCUAAUGCAUAUGAUGUAAUGCAAAUGCAUGAAAUGAAUGCCAAAAGAAACGUUAAUUCUUGGUUCAAUUCUAUUAGAACAACUGGAAUAGAAAACAAAUCUAUUUACAUAAAGCAGAUAUAUAUACGGCUUUGCCGUCAUAGGCGGGAACAUUCGAUCCUCUUCUUCAUUCGAGCGUUAAGAUAAAUCUCCCGAACUCUUCAAAAGGGACAUCCCUUCUAUCUCUUUUUUCUUCAUCUGGGCCGCGACUCGUUACUCAUUCAUCCUUGUGAUGCUCGUUGGCUUCUCUUUAAAAAGUUUAGCGGUUCUCGAAUAAUCUUUAUCAUCUUGAGUCUUCAGCCAACGAGGCAAAGUCAUAUAGUCCUCUACUGAACUAUCAUCCUUCUUUUGUUAUAUCUUCUCGGACCGUAUUAGGACAACCGUAUCGUCAUCCACUUUAUCAAGAAACCCAUUUUCUUAUGACAAGCUCUCUAUUUAGCAAUUGAACGUGAAUCAACACCUCUUUUUAUGAUGAAAAUGCAAUGCAAUCAUAGCAAAAAGAAAACAUGUUAGUACAAAGCAAAAGCAAGCAAGAAUAAAUAGAACACCUAUUUGGGUGAAUACUAGGGGUUCGAAGUGGUUCUACCUAGGGUGGGCUCCUAAGGUUCACUACAUGGGGUUUGGUUCUAAAGUAAGGGUACCUGAACCAGCAGAUUCCUCGAUCCUCACCCAUUAUAGGCUCAUAUGGACCGAGUUCAGUUCAGGGGAAUACAUUUCCCUAUGGCCAUGCGGAGAUGAAAAUCUCACGAAGACAUAGGUACGGAUGUAUCCCGGAAGCGAUUCACUAUCCCAUGCGGAGGUGAAAACCUCACGAAGGCGUAGUUUCUCACUCCCACUUAAAAGGGUAUGACCAGCGGUCAUGCAAUGCAAUGUGCAGAGGUAUAAAACAAAAUACAGAACAUGAUAAAAAAAAUAUAACUCAAAAUAAAAGAGAUGCAAUGAGAGGAUCGUAAAUUUAAAUCGAAUUUUCCACUUUCAACCAAAAGACAAGAAAUAAUCAACACGUGGCUUGACUCUCUUACUAUCCCCAGUGGAGUCGCCAAGCUGUUGACACCAUUUUUUUGGAUGAAAACGGGGUCGACUUGGAUUUUGAAAAAAGAAUGAAAACGGGAGUCGCCACCAAUCUUUUUUUGAUGAGGUGUGAUCAGGUCACCUCGAAAAGUGGUUAUUUUUAAUAAACAAUUUAAUUUUUAUUAAAACAACGAUUUUGGUCUGCGAAAUUCAGAAAAACGGGUUCGGGAGUCGGUUACGCACGAGGAAGGGUUAGCACCCUCGAUACGCCCAAAAUUGGUACCUAGUUGAUUACUUAAUGUCUUGGUGUCAAAAAUUAAAAACUCGAAAAGAAUUUAAAAAUACGAUCCUUAAAAGAAACUCUGAUAACGUGAAUUGAAAUAUAAGACUCUCUUGUUCCGAAUGAAUAUCACAUCCAGCACGUUAGGACACGAUACUCUAAACCAUCGAAACCAAGAUCACCUUAUAGUUUAAUGAAACCAUACUUUGAAGCUUUAAGAGGAUAUUUGGCUAUUUAGUCAAACGAGAAAUCAAAAUCCAGCACGUUAGGGCACGUUUUCUCGAGUUUCCAAACGCGAAAUAUUGCCUUAUUUAGAAAAAUCUUAUCUCGAGGUAAUAAGAUGUCAUAUCCGGUGAGUUAGGACACAACACCUCAAAUCUCAGAGAGUAAGCAUUUUAUUUAACACUCGUAUUAUGAUUUUAAAGAAUAUGCCGUUAUUUAGGUUAAACGAGAAAAAUCGAAACCCAGUAAAUUAGGACACGAUUUUCUCGAAUUUCCAAGAACAGAAUAUUGCCUUAUUUUAUUUUUGUAUAUUCAAAUAAAUAUGUAUGCAAUGUUUAAAACCAUGCAUAUCAUUUGAGUUUCAGUGUAAAGAAUGAACCUUUAACAUGGCUCAUGAUGUGAUUGGAAUAAUAAUAGAAUGAUAACACGAAUAAACAACAUAACGACUUAUCUAUAAUAAUAAAACAACGAGUAUGCCGGGGCAAUUAGCAACUAAAUCUAAUAUUAAUUAAACCAUGAUAUACAUAAGAAUAAUAAUGAAAGAAAGUGGAAUAUGUAUAAAAAAUGAAUAUGCAAACAUCAAAAAGAAAUAAAUAAAUAACAAAGAAGGGUUAAAAUAAUAUAACAAUGACGAUAGUAAGAUUUGGUGAAAACAUGAGAUUAUAGACAAUCAUAUUUAAGAAAUAUAUGUAAUAAUGAACAAAAAAAAUUGAAAUUAUAUAAAUAAAUAAAUCAAACAACUUGAAGUAAUACAAAAUUUAAGGAUAAAUAGGUGUACGUGUAAUAUUACAUUUAGAAAUAAAAAUAGCAAACAAAUAGUUAAAAGUAAUGUUGGAUAAUAAUCUAGGUAGAGUAUUAAAAAGGAAUAAUAAUAAAAAUACUAUGAUAGUAAUGAUGACAAUAUUAAUAAUCAAAUUGCAACAACAAAACGAACAAAGUGGCUCAAAAUAAAAUCAAAAUCAAAAUAGGAGGUGCAUAAUAAUAAAAGGUAAAAUAUAAGAAAUACAUAAUAAUAAUAAUAAUAAUAAUAAUAAUAAUAAUAAUCCGCGUAGUAGAAAACACAAAUAAUCUAGAUUUUAAAAUAUACGUGUAUAUAUAUAGAUAUAUAUAAAAGUACUUAAAUGGAAUAUUAUACAAAAUGUUAGGAUAAUAUAACAUGAAAAUUCUAAAAUAAUGAUUUUUCAACAAGGCAAAACCAAUAAAGCAAUUUUGGCAAAAAGAGAAAAAAAUAAUAAUAAAUAAAUAAAAAUAAUAAUAAUAAAUAAAAAAAUUGAAUGAAUCCUUUUGGAAAUAAGUAUUGAAUAGAUAAUAAGCCUAAUUAAAAUAAAUUUAAAAUAAAAGGGGUAAUCUGAAAAUAAAGAAACCAACAUGGGGGAUCACUGUGUAAUGUGCGCAAAUGCACAAGGACUAAAACUGGAAAUAAUCCAGGUCCCAUAAUGUAGUGCUUAGACGCGGACCGAAUUGCCAACAUGCGUAAAUUUUGAAGCCAAAUAAAAAAAGGAAGUGAAAUAAAUAAGGCAUGGUUGAGUGCUUGCACAAAGGGGGAGGACUCAACGUGAAAUUCCCCUAUUUUCAACUUAAAAGGCGCAGAUCAGGCCUGUUAAACAAGUUGAAAUGCGGGCCUUCCUUUUCACAAAUAAUUUAAAACCCCUUUUUCAAAUGCAGCCACCUUUUAACUAAAAAAUCUAUAAUCCUAAAAUCAAUUAAACAUUGCAGCAAAAAAAAAGGAAAGAAAAAGGGGAAACCCAAAAUGUUUGCCCCCGUUUGGUCUGCCGUUCAACCACCAUCAGUCCACCAUGAACGAUGGAUGGUGGUCUACCAAAGCGUUCCCCUUAUGCCUUCAUUUAAAGCCCAGCCUCAAGACUCAUCAAUUUCGGCCUCAAAACCCCUCUCAACCUUCGACGCCGGCUAAGAAGACGAGGAUUUGGUGGCUCGUUCGCAAAGUAAGUCUUCUAUCUUCUCUUUAUUAUACUAAAACGCAUGCAGAGCAAAAAAGAAAACAAAAUAGACCUGAGAAAAAUAAUGUACAAGACUUUUGAAAUCUUUUUUUCUUUCUGAUUGCUCUUUUUUUUUUAUGCUUCAAUCUAUGUGUGUAUAAAAAUACAAUGUUUUUUUUAUUCCCGAAAUUCCCCUAUUUUCAAUCAGUUCCCUCUCCCCAAAAUACCAUCGAUCCCCCUGUACAAUUUUUGAUUCGGGUUUUUAUAACCCAUUUUCAUCUAAUUUCCUAUUGUUUCUGUUUUGUCUCUUUGCAUGGGAUGGGCACGAUGGAGGUGACAGAGGCAUGGGGUGCAGACGGUGAUGGGCAUGCGUGGAGGCUGGCGCGGAGCAGAGGCGUGCGAGGUUGAGUGGUUGCGCACAUGGGGCAACGACGCAAGUGGGCAAGUGGGGGGUUUGCUGGUAUGGGCCCGGGCAGAUUUUGGGCUUUACAAUGUUUAUCGAUGCUUAUCAGAUUAUUUACCCUAAAUAUUUAUUGUCACUCUUCCAGUAUAAGACUUAUUUCAUUCGAACUUUAAUUGGUUAAAACUUAAAAUGAAAUAUUAUUAUAUUAGAGAGAUUUAUUAUUGUUUAAAUUUGAAUAUAUUUUAAUUUUUAAUCUAUUAUAUUUUUGAAUUGAUUUAUUCUAAUUCUAAUUGAUCAAAUAUGUAUUAUUUGUAACUUUUACUAAAAUUUUUUUAAUACGAUACAUUAUGUUCGUACCCUUUAAAAUUUUUUUGAAAAAUUUUAAAAAUAGAAUAUAGUAUAAUCAAGUACGACCACGUAUGUAUGAUGAUAUAUAAGGAAUUAUAAAGUUGAAUUAAACUAAUAUAAACUGCAAAUAAAUUAAGAAUCGGAAUAAUUUGAACUAAAAACGACGUAGAACAAUUGUGCAGGAAGAGAUUCAGACUUUAGUACACAAAAUCUAAGACCUUGACCUUUAUCAACAACUUCGAAACUUACUUUAUCCGGAUCAAAAUAACAAUCAUAUUUUAAUUGUUUUUUGCAUUCAAUCAAAAAUUAUUCCAGAGAUAGAAUUGAAGAUUGAAAUAAUUAUUGAACAAAGGGAAUUACUAAACGAAGAGCAAGACUGAAACAUUUCUCAUGCAACAAAGUUUUAAUUGUUUUGUAGAAGUGGAUGAACGACUGUGAAGAGCCAUAGAUGUUGUUUUCUAAGGAUAACCCUCGAUGACGGAUUGAACUGCACGUAUGGGAUUAACAGUGAAUCAUUUAAAACCAGAUUGUCGAAGAACAUAGCUCCAUUCCUUUAAGGUCCUCUCUUUCCCUUUAUCAAUAUGAGCCAUCAUCGCCAUGUCUAGCAUCAACCCCACGAAACCUAGCUCGUCGUCUUCUUUAUCUUCUUCAAGAGCUGCUUCAACGAUUAUAACCUUCCCUUUAUCUUCUGGAAUGGCUUCUCGACAUUUUUUUAGGAUUUUAAUGCAUUCCUCGUCGUCCCAAUCAUGCAAUAUCCACUGCAAUUUGCAAUGUAUGGAUUAAUCGUAUAAGACCAUAUAAUGAAGGGAAAAAAAGUACUAACCAUUAAAAACGCUGCGUCGGCGUUUGGGAUAGACAUGAACAUGUCGCCUCCUACGUUUUCAAUGCUACCGGAUUUUGGUGCAACGGCAACGACAUGAGGGAGAUCAAAGUUGAUGCCUCGAAUCCAAGGGAAUGCCUUGACUAAAAGGCUCAAAGUAGUCACGUUACCACCACCGACAUCGACCAGGCUUUCGACUCCGUCGAACACUUCGGGACAUCCUUCGAUUGUCGCCUGCACCGCCAGUCUAGCAUCGCAACCCAUGGCAUCGUUGAAGAGUUAUCUAUGGCCGGGGUUUGUCUCGAACUAGCUCCAUGGAUCUUUCCCGUUCGCAGCUUCAAAUGGUGAGAUAUCAUUGCCGGUUUCAAGGACUCGAGCACUAAGACUAUGCCAUGGUGCUAACCAAGUCGGGCUGGACUCGAGCAAUAUAAAAGGGCCCAUGGAUUUUUCUCCAUCUUUUAUCAAACGACGAGACAAUGGCGUAGAUGAGAAGCCUACAGUGUGUUGGUUGAUGGGUUCCUGUUUGAAUAUUCGGUCGUGGACCAUGAACCUCAUAAUGCGAUAAAGACGCGACGGUUCGCAUCGGAGGGCAGUGGCUAGCUCGGAUAGUGGCAUAGGGCUUCCAUAGUUUUCAAUAACAUUGGCAAUCCCAAGCUCAAUGGCACAUUUAACGACAGCUAUUUUAGCAUACCCGAACACAUAAUUCCAAAUAUCUACUUCAGCUCUAGCUUCUUCUUCUUCGAUUCCACUCACUUCCAUUAUUAUUAUUUUUCUCUUGGAAAACUUUAUAAUUCUAUUCGCAACUCUUGAGGAUGAAAAGUUUUGUUGAAGACCCCGAUUUAUACGAGCAAAGGGUUAGAUUUUCUCUCUUCAAUUUCAGUUUUUUUCCUAAAAUAAAUUAAAUCUAAUUGAAAAUAUCAAAAUUUAGGAGAAAAACUGAUGUGACAUUAUGACAUUAAAUUAUUAAAAAAUGAUACAAAUGGCGUGUGAUUUCAAAUUCAUACAAUCAUGAUGAACAUCCUAAAAUAAUAUAAUUAUCAUGAUAUAACUUGGUGGAACAUUUUUUAAUAUAUAUAUUUAUGUGUUUUUUAAUGGAAUUUUUUUUAAUAUAGUUGUUUCCACCACUGAUUUCCUUUGGAAAAUUUUAGUUAUUAUCGUGAUUAAAAUUGCUUGAUUCUGCUCAACUAAUAAGGGAGAUUUUUUAUAAAUUGUAUUAUUGAACCUAAAAGUUUAACCAUGAAGGAGUGGUUGAAUGACAUUGAAUAAAAAUAAUAAAAGCUUAAUAUAUUAAUUGAUCCUUGAAUUUAACAGUUUUUCUCACAUUAGUUCUUAGAUAUUUCUUUGGAUUAUAUUAGUCUCUAAAUUUGGCAACCAUUACAGACACCAAUUUCUAAGGUUAAGGGUGGGUUUGGAUAGGCGGUACGUUUACUUACGAUUAGUGUAAAAACAGCAGUGGCAGUGAGAUUAGAUACUGUAGCGAUAUUGUAGUGUGAGACAAAAAGUAAGAUAAACGCACCGCACCCAGUCAUCCAUCCAAACUCACCCUAACACCAUUUAGUUUUUAGCAAUUUUGGUGACAUGGACUAAUAUCGUUGUGAUACAUGCUAUAUAUAUAUAUAUAUUCAACUUUCUUUAUAAUAACUACCCAUUAUAACACAACAUUUCGCUAUAACAAUAAAAUUUUUAUCAGAAUUGAUUUUUUAUGUUUUAUUUUAACCUUCUAUAAUAAUUUUUCACUUAUAACAAUAAUAGCUAUAAUUAUGAAGUACAUCCUUUGUUAAAUCAGUUCUUUAAAACAACACCUUGCUUAAAAUUUUAAGUAAAACUAUAACUAUUCAUAUAAGCAAACCUAUUACUUAGAAUUUGAUCUUCUUCUUUUGUUCUUUUCCUUUUUCUUUCUUUUAAUUUUACAUUUUUUUAUAACAUUGAGAGUUAAUCUUAAAAGAAAGAAUAACAAUAAAAGUUAUUAUUUAGAAUUUUUGGGUGUUUUCAUUUUUUUUUGUUUAUUUUCAAUCAAAUUUAGCUAAUAAAUUAGACUUUUAGCUUUUUAGGUGAAAAGAUCAGAAGAACAACAAAAUUACAAAAAAAAGACCAAAUUACACAAUGUGUAAACAUUGAGGGUUAGAUUGUUUAGAAUCAAGACUAAUUUGACCCAAUAUAUAAAUGUUAAAGAUUAAGGUUGCCAUUAUGCCAAUUUUAGAAGCUACCACCGCUAGCUUGUUGGUGACAAAAAAUGAUAAAAUUUAAUAAUUAAAUAACUAUUUUAUAACUUUUUAUAAUUGGGUGAUCAAAAUAAAAUUUACUAAUAUUUAAGUGAAUACUAAUUAAUUUAUUUAUUUUUCAUUUCGAUAAACAAACAAAUCGUGGACCAUAGAAUUUAAUCUCUCUUCACAAAAUCAGACAUGGGUUCUUUCUUUGGACAAUGGUUACCCAAAAUAGAGAAAAAUUUUCACAUAAAUGUUCGAUAUGAUUAGUGCCCCCACUAAACAGCUCAUCAUCUCAUAUUUAUCUAAAAUUGUGGUAUAAAUGUUUAUAGGGGUUAUGGGACAUCUCAAAUGGAUUAACGCUUCUUUUGGAGAGGAGUUAUGACUUUGUAAUAAUCCAAACAGACAGUAUAGAGGCCGUUCAAGUUAUUAAAGACUAGGCUUGUAAGGACUUGGACUCAACUUUAAUAAGAAGAAAUCAUCAAAUUUUGUCUAGUAUUAGACAUUGGGACAUUUGUCACAUUCCGAAGUCGAUGAAAUUGCUAAACUAGUUCAAGAAAUGAGGGAAUGUCUUUCAAGUGUUUGAAGUGUCCCCAUUGGGAAGUUUUAUUUUAUCGUAAUUUUUUAGGUUUUGUAUUUUCACCAAAUUUUUUUUAAGAAAAUAGAAAAUAAUAAUAAUUUUUGAAAACUCAAAGUACAAUUAUAUUAAAUUUGUAAUUUCAUCCAUAAUGUUAUUCAUAUCUAUCUAAUUAUUUGUCCUAAUCAUCCGAAAUUUAGGCCUAGUUUGGAUUGGUGGUACGUUUAACUGUAGUUAGUGUAAACAUAACGGUGGCGAUGAUAUUAGAUACUGUAGCGUGAGACAAAAAAUAAAUUAAAAGCACCGCACCCAAUCACCCAUCUAAAUCCACCUUAGUUAGUUACAAUCUAAAAUGAAAUAUAUAUUAAUAUAAUAAUAUAUUAUAUUGGUGUUUUGUUCAGUUUUAUUAUGGUUUAAAUUCAAAUAUAUUUCAAAUUUCAAUCUAUUAUAUUUUAUAUUGAGUUAUUCUAAUUUUAAUUGAUCAAAUAUGUAUUAUUUGUAACUUAUACUAAGCUUCUUCUUUUUUAAGUAACUCAUACUAUAUUUGUAGUUAUAAAUUCUUUCAAAAAAAUAAAUUAGGAUUCAUUAUAACAACACAAGCCAUGUUUUAAUAGAGCGUAUUACGAACUCAAAUCCUUUGAAUUUUUUUGAAAAAGUUUACAACUAGAAUAUAGUAAAUCAAGUACAACACAAUUAUAAAGUUGAAUUGAAUCAAUAUAAAUUACAAAUAGAUUAAGAACGGGAAUAAAUUAAAUUAAAAUUCACACGUGACAAUUGCGUAUGAUGAGACUCAAGUUUUGGUAUACAAGACUCAAAAUCUCGACUUUUACCAACAAUGCCAAAACUUAUUCGACAGACAAUUCAAACCUCUUAUCCGAUAUCAAAAUACCAGUUGUAUUUUAAUUAUUUUUCACAAUCAAUCUAAAACUAUUCCAGAGGUAGAAUUAAAAUUGGUAUCAGUUUUAAAUAAAACCGGAUUAAUUGAUAUAUUGAUUCCAACAGAAUGAUUUUAAAGAAAACCACUCAAAACCAAGAUUUAUUGUAGUAGUGGAUGAACAACUGUGAAGAGCCAUAGAAUUUUUUUUUUCUAAGGAUAAGCUUCGAUGACGGAUUGAACUGCACGUAUAGGUUUAACGUUGAAUCGUGUAAAACCAGAUUGUCGAAGAACAUAGCUCCAUUCCUUUAAGGUCCUCUCUUUCCCUUUAUUAGUAACACCCAUCAUCGUCAUGUCUAGCAUCAACCCUACGCCACCUAGCUCGUCGCCUUCUUUAUCUUCUUCAAGAACUGCUUCAACGAUUAUAACCUUCCCUUUAUCUUCUGGAAUGGCUUCUCGACAUUUUUUUAGGAUUUUAAUGCAUUCCUCGUCGUCCCAAUCAUGCAAUACCCACUGCAAUGUGCCAUGUAUGGAUUAAUCGUAUAAGACCAUAUAAUGAAGGGAAAGAAAGUACUAACCAUGAAAAACGCUGCGUCGGCAUUUGGGAUAGACAUGAACAUGUCUCCUCCUACGUUUUCAAUGCUAUCGGAUUUUGCUGAAACGGCGACGACAUGAGGGAGAUCAAAGUUGAUGCCUCGAAUCCAUGGGAAUGCCUUGACUAAAAGGCUCAAAGCAGUCCCGUUACCACCACCGACAUCGACCAGGCUUUCGACUCCAUCAAACACUUCGGGACAUCCUUCGAUUGUCGCCUGCACCGUCAGUCUAGCAUCGCAACCCAUGGCGUUGUUAAAGAGUUCUCUAAAGUCGGGGUUCGCCUCGGCGUAGCUCCAUAGAUCUUUCCCAUUUGCUACUUCAAAUGGUGAGAUAUUAUUGCCGGUUUCAAGGACUCGAGCACUAAGACUAUGCCAGGGUGCUAAGCCAGUCGGGCUGGACAUGAGCAAUAUGAAAAGCAGCCAUGGAUUUUUCUCCACCUUUUAUCAAAUGACGGGACAAUGGCGUCGAUGAGAAGCCUACGGUGUGUUGGUUGAUGGGUUCUUGUUUGAAUAUUCGGUCGUGGACCAUGAACCUCAUAAUGCGAUAAAGACGUGACGGUUCGCAUCGGAGGGCAGUGGCUAGCUCGGAGAGUGGCAUAGGGCUUCCAUAGUUUUCAAUAACGUCGGCAAUUCCAAGCUCAAUGGCACAUUUAACGACAGCUAUUUUAACAUAUCCUAACACAUAAUUCCAAAUCUUUAUUUCAGCUCUAGCUUCUUCCUCUAUUGUCACUUCCAUAUCUCCUAUCUCAACUUUUUCUUUUAAAAUUUUGUUAUUUUAGAACUUUUGGUAACUCUAUGCCCAAAUCUUGACUAUGAAGCUACGAUUUAUAGAAGCAAAGGUAUUGGUUUGAACUAGGUCACAGUUCUUGAAUUUGAAAAUAUCUUGUCAAAUAUGCUCCUAACCACAAAACAAUUAUUAGAUUAAUUUGGUAAAAAAAUUACAGUCCAAUUAUUUGAGGUGUACCAAAUAGUAUAUGUAACUUAGAUUUUGGUUAACUUUUACCAUAGUACUUCAAUAGCAAUUUAUAAAUUUAAUCUUUAUAUUUUUUUAUUGAUUAAUUUCUAUCACAUUUCAAAAAUCGAGCUAAAAAAAAUUGGAUUAAUGGAUCAAGAAUUAACACGUCAUGACUUUUAAUUAAAACUUUGUAAAAUUAUGAUAAAAAUGAAUUAUCAACUAAGAAGAGAGUCUAAUUGACUUAGAGACUUGAGUUAUGUUUCGUGGGAUAUUCUCACAUUUUUCUGCCAUUCACUUCUACUUUAUUUAUGUGGUAAUGGGUGUAUGUGUGUGAUAGUGGGAUUGAUGGGUUUUUUUAACCAACUUUAUUCAGGAUCUUUCAUUUUUUGGACACUUUUACCCAAAAUCAGACACAGCUCAUCAUCUCAUAUUAUCUAAAAUUGUGUGGUAUAUAUGUUUAUAGGGUCAACUCAAAAAAUAUUUUAAGAAAAUAAUAAUAAUUUUCGAAAAAUAAAAAUACAAUUUUAUAAAUUAUUGUUAUUUUAUCUUUUUUUUUCGUGUUUGUCUUCGUCCAUAAUGUUUAUCGAUGCUUAUCAGAUUAUUUACCCUAAAUAUUUAUUGUCACUCUUCCAGUAUAAGACUUAUUUCAUUCGAACUUUAAUUGGUUAAAACUUAAAAUGAAAUAUUAUUAUAUUAGAGAGAUUUAUUAUUGUUUAAAUUUGAAUAUAUUUUAAUUUUUAAUCUAUUAUAUUUUUGAAUUGAUUUAUUCUAAUUCUAAUUGAUCAAAUAUGUAUUAUUUGUAACUUUUACUAAAAUUUUUUUAAUACGAUACAUUAUGUUCGUACCCUUUAAAAUUUUUUUGAAAAAUUUUAAAAAUAGAAUAUAGUAUAAUCAAGUACGACCACGUAUGUAUGAUGAUAUAUAAGGAAUUAUAAAGUUGAAUUAAACUAAUAUAAACUGCAAAUAAAUUAAGAAUCGGAAUAAUUUGAACUAAAAACGACGUAGAACAAUUGUGCAGGAAGAGAUUCAGACUUUAGUACACAAAAUCUAAGACCUUGACCUUUAUCAACAACUUCGAAACUUACUUUAUCCGGAUCAAAAUAACAAUCAUAUUUUAAUUGUUUUUUGCAUUCAAUCAAAAAUUAUUCCAGAGAUAGAAUUGAAGAUUGAAAUAAUUAUUGAACAAAGGGAAUUACUAAACGAAGAGCAAGACUGAAACAUUUCUCAUGCAACAAAGUUUUAAUUGUUUUGUAGAAGUGGAUGAACGACUGUGAAGAGCCAUAGAUGUUGUUUUCUAAGGAUAACCCUCGAUGACGGAUUGAACUGCACGUAUGGGAUUAACAGUGAAUCAUUUAAAACCAGAUUGUCGAAGAACAUAGCUCCAUUCCUUUAAGGUCCUCUCUUUCCCUUUAUCAAUAUGAGCCAUCAUCGCCAUGUCUAGCAUCAACCCCACGAAACCUAGCUCGUCGUCUUCUUUAUCUUCUUCAAGAGCUGCUUCAACGAUUAUAACCUUCCCUUUAUCUUCUGGAAUGGCUUCUCGACAUUUUUUUAGGAUUUUAAUGCAUUCCUCGUCGUCCCAAUCAUGCAAUAUCCACUGCAAUUUGCAAUGUAUGGAUUAAUCGUAUAAGACCAUAUAAUGAAGGGAAAAAAAGUACUAACCAUUAAAAACGCUGCGUCGGCGUUUGGGAUAGACAUGAACAUGUCGCCUCCUACGUUUUCAAUGCUACCGGAUUUUGGUGCAACGGCAACGACAUGAGGGAGAUCAAAGUUGAUGCCUCGAAUCCAAGGGAAUGCCUUGACUAAAAGGCUCAAAGUAGUCCCGUUACCACCACCGACAUCGACCAGGCUUUCGACUCCGCCGAACACUUCGGGACAUCCUUCGAUUGUCGCCUGCACCGCCAGUCUAGCAUCGCAACCCAUGGCAUCGUUGAAGAGUUAUCUAUGGCCGGGGUUUGUCUCGAACUAGCUCCAUGGAUCUUUCCCGUUCGCAGCUUCAAAUGGUGAGAUAUCAUUGCCGGUUUCAAGGACUCGAGCACUAAGACUAUGCCAUGGUGCUAACCAAGUCGGGCUGGACUCGAGCAAUAUAAAAGGGGCCAUGGAUUUUUCUCCAUCUUUUAUCAAACGACGAGACAAUGGCGUAGAUGAGAAGCCUACAGUGUGUUGGUUGAUGGGUUCCUGUUUGAAUAUUCGGUCGUGGACCAUGAACCUCAUAAUGCGGUAAAGACGCGACGGUUCGCAUUGGAGGGCAGUGGCUAGCUCGGAUAGUGGCAUAGGGCUUCCAUAGUUUUCAAUAACAUUGGCAAUCCCAAGCUCAAUGGCACAUUUAACGACAGCUAUUUUAGCAUACCCGAACACAUAAUUCCAAAUAUCUACUUCAGCUCUAGCUUCUUCUUCUUCGAUUCCACUCACUUCCAUUAUUAUUUUUUUUCUCUUGGAAAACUUUAUAAUUCUAUUAGCAACUCUUGAGGAUGAAAAGUUUUGUUGAAGACCCCGAUUUAUACGAGCAAAGGGUUAGAUUUUCUCGCUUAAAUUUCAGUUUUUUUUCCUAAAAUAAAUUAAAUCUACUUGAAAAUAUCAAAAUUUAAGAGAAAAACUGAUGUGACAUUAUGACAUUAAAUUAUUAAAAAAUGAUACAAAUGGCGUGUGAUCUCAAAUUCAUACAAUCAUGAUGAACAUCCUAAAAUAAUAUAAUUAUCAUGAUUGAUUUUCGUACUAAUUAAAUUAAGAAUUUAUUGAGACAUCAGUUUAAAGAAAAACAUAGUAGAAAAGGGUUUAUUUUUAUGUGUUUUUUAAUCGAAUUUUUUUUUUAAUAUAGUUGUUUACACCACUGAUUUCCUUUGGAAAAUUUUAGUUAUUAUCGUGAUUAAAAUUGCUUGAUUCUGCUCAACUAAUAAGGGAAAUUUUUUAUAAAUUGUAUUAUUGAACCUAAAAGUUUAACCAUGAAGGAGUGGUUGAAUGACAUUGAAUAAAAAUAAUAAAAGCUUAAUAUAUUAAUUGAUCCUUGAAUUUAACAGUUUUUCUCACAUUAGUUCUUAGAUAUUUCUUUGGAUUAUAUUAGUCUCUAAAUUUGGCAACCAUUACAUACACCAAUUUCUAAGGUUAAGGGCGGGUUUGGAUAGGCGGUGUGUUUACUUGCGAUUAGUGUAAAAACAGCAGUGGCAGUGAGAUUAGAUACUGUAGCGAUAUUGUAGUGUGAGACAAAAAGUAAGAUAAACGCACCGCACCCAGUCAUCCAUCUAAACCCACCCUAACACCAUUUAGUUUUUAGAAAUUUUGGUGACAUGGACUAAUAUAGUUGUGAUACAUGCUAUAUAUAUAUAUUCAACUCUCUUUAUAACAACUACCCAUUAUAACACAACAUUUCGCUAUAACAAUCAAAUUUUUAUCAGAAUUAAGUUUUUAUGUUUUAUUUUAACCUUCUAUAACAAUUUUUCACUUAUAACAAUAAUAGCUAUAAUUAUGAAGUACAUCCUUUGUUAAAUCGGUUCUUUAAAACAACACAUUGCUUAAAAUUUUAAGUAAAACUAUAACUAUUCAUAUAAGCAAACCUAUUACUUAGAAUUUGAUCUUCUUCUUUUGUUCUUUUCCUUUUUCUUUCUUUUAAUUUUACAUUUUUUUUAUAACAUUGGGAGUUAAUUUUAAAAGAGUUAAUUUAUUAGGUUUUGUAUUUUCACCAAAUUUUUUUAGGAAAAUAGAAAAUAAUAAUAAUUUUUGAAAACUCAAAGUACAAUUAUAUUAAAUUUGUGAUUUCAUCCAUAAUGUUUAUUAAUAUCUAUCAAAUUAUUUGUCCUAAUCAUCCAAAAUUUAGGCUUAGCUUGGAUUGUUGGUGCGUUUAACUGUAGUUGAUGUAAAAACAACGGUGGCGGUGAUAUUAGAUACUGUAGCGACACUGUAGCGUGAGACAAAAAAUAAAUUAAACGCACCGCACCCAAUCACCUAUCCAAACCAACCUUAGUUACAAUCUAAAAUAAAUAUAUAUAUUAAUAUACUAAUAUAUUAUAUUGGUGUUUUGUUCAGUUUUAUUAUGGUUUAAAUUCAAAUAUAUUUCAAUUUUCAAUCUAUUAUAUUUCAUAUUGAGUUAUUCUAAUUUUAAUUGAUCAAAUAUGUAUUAUUUGUAACUUAUACUAAGCUCUUUUUUUAAUGUAACUAAUACUAUAUUUGUACUCAUAAAUUCUUUCGAAAAAAUAAAUUAUGAUACGUUAUAACAACACGCUCGAACUCAAAUCCUUUGAAUUUUUUGGAAAAAUUCUACAACUAGAAUAUAGUAAAUCAAGUACAACUACAUAUGUCUCAACAAUAUAUAUAAACUACAAACAGAUUAAGAACGAGAAUAAUUUAAACUAAAAUUCAAACAUGACAAUUGCGUAUUAUGAGACUCAAAAUCUCGACUUUUACCAACAAUGCCAAAACUUAUUUGGCAGACAAUUCAAACCUCUUAUCCGAUGUCAAAAUAACAGUUGUAUUUUAAUUAUUUUUCACAAUCAAUCUAAAACUAUUCUAGAGGUGGAAUUAAAAUUGGUAUUGGUUUUAAAUUAAACCGGAUUAAUUAUUGAUAUACUGAUUCCAACAGAAUGACUUUAAAGAAAACCACUCAAAACCAAGAUUUAUUGAUUCCAACAAAAGACUGAUGUUUUGAGCCAAAACUAAAACAUUUCUCAUGCAACAAAGUUUUUAUUGUAGUAGUGGAUGAACGACUGUGAAGAGCCAUAGAAUUUUUUUUUCUAAGGAUAAGCUUCGAUGACGGAUUGAACUGCAUGUGUAGGUUUAACGUUGAAUCGUGUAAAACCAGAUUGUCGAAGAACAGAGCUCCAUUCCUUUAAGGUCCUCUCUUUCCCUUUAUUUGUAAUAGCCAUCAGCGCCGUGUCUAGCAUCAACCCUACGCCACCUAGCUCGUCGCCUUCUUUAUCUUCUUCAAGAACUGCUUCAACGAUUAUAACCUUCCCUUUAUCUUCUGGAAUGGCUUCUCGACAUUUUUUUAGGAUUUUAAUGCAUUCCUCGUCGUCCCAAUCAUGCAAUAUCCACUGCAAUUUGCAAUGUAUAGAUUAAUCGUAUAAGACCAUAUAAUGAAGGGAAAAAAAAGUACUAACCAUUAAAAAGGCUGCGUCGACGUUUGGGAUAGACAUGAACAUGUCGCCUCCUAUGUUUUGAUGCUACCGGACUUUGGUGCAACGGCAACGACAUGAGGGAGAUCAAAGUUGAUGCCUCGAAUCCAUGGGAAUGCCUUAACUAAAAGGCUCAAAGCAGUCCCAUUACCACCAUGAAACAACUUUGGACGUCACGAAUCUGAAAACCAAAAUUCGAACAAUUUUUUUCUCUGAUCUCCGACAUUGGUUGUUAGAUCGACUUAGAUCUAAGAUAUGUUCUGCUACUCGUCAAUGGGUAUUGAUCCACCAUAUCGAUCGUUGAAUCGUUACUUGGAGCUUGCUGGCAGAACUUAAAAAAAAAUUUAACAGCCUAUUGACUUAAAUAAAAACUUUUAAAUAGUUCAGUGACUUAAAUGAAAACUUUCAAAUAGUUCAGUGACCGGAUUGUAACCCUUUUUUAGUUAAGUGACCAAAAUGAAAAGCUACCCAUAGUUUAGUGACUAAUAGUAUAGCUUACCCUACUUUAAUUUGGUCAAUUUUAGUACUUUUUUUUUAAUUUUGAACUUCAGAUUGAAUUGCAAACUAUAGAAGUUAAAUUCAUUAUGUCAAAUUCUGCUAUUAGUUUUGUACUAUACGUAAGUUUCGGAUUUGGUCUCAAUUCUCCAAUUUGAUCAUUUUAAUCAUUAUACCUUUCUUAUUUUGAAAUUCUAAUCAUGGUUCAUAUUGUAGUUGACAAAACACUACACACAUGAUAAUAUGUUUGUCGUAUAGAAAUUUGGAAAUGUCAAAAUUUAACAACUGAAAUUUUAAAAUUUAAAAAGUACAAGGACUUAAAAUGAUCAAAUUAGAGUACAAAAGCUAAUUUUACAAGUUACAUAUAUUAUAGGGACUAAUAGUGGAUUUUGAUCAAAAUCAUGUUUUUAACAAAAAGGACAACUUUCUGAAUUUAAAAGGUUACAAUGUGAAGUUAGUUCUGUAUUUUGAUAAAAUUUGAGAAUUAGUCUUGUAAUUGAAAAUUUAACAAAUUAAGUCCUCCUAAUUUUAUAAUUUGAAAUUCACAAUCUAAUUAUUAACAUUGUUAGUAUUUUUUGUCAAAAUUUGUCAACUUGGCAUAUUAGACUACCCUAAUAUGACGUGGUAUAUGAUUGACAAAAAAUAUAUAUAUUAAAUUGAAAAAUUCUAACAUAGGUUACCAACAAUGAUAAUGAUUGGACUUAUAUUUCUAAAUUGGAAAAAAAAUAGUUGGAUUGAAUUUUUAACUUUUAAAGUAGAGGGACUAAAUAUCAUAUUCUGCAAAGUACAAGGACUAAUAUCAUAUUUUAACGAAUUAUUAAGUAAAUUUGGCCCAACCCAAAAGCCCAUCUGAUUACGACCCUUUCUACUUCUACCAUUGUACAUAAGGCUAUUUAACAGUGUUUCUGCUAAUAUUCCAUCACUUUCUCGGGAAAAUCAACGAUGGCAGAUUGGACCCAACUCCCCAAGGAACUACUAGAACUUAUUUCCAAACGCCUAGGAACCCACUAUGACGUCAUCCGUUUCCGUUCCGUUUGCUCCACCUGGCGCUCCGCCGUUACUGCCCCCAACCGCUGCCGCAACCGCUUCGCUCCCCGUUUCCCGCUUCUCCCUAUUUCCUCCCAAUUCUCCCUCUCAAAGCGCUCCGUAUUCCUCCUCGGAUCACCCACAACUAGUACCCAAACAAACGCUUCUAGCCCCUCCUCGUGGGUAAUCAAAAUCGAAGAAGAUCCGAUGAACGGCAGAGUCCAGCUUUUGAACCCUCUCUCAAGGUCUCGUUUCGAUUCUCUCCCUGAUAAUUUCCCCAAACCUUUAAAUUUGUUGGAUUUUAGGGUUCUUGAAUUGGGUGAAGAGUAUGUGCUUCAUUAUUUAACUCAUCACAGUGUGGGCAACUUGUACAUGGAAAAAGUUGUCCUAUCUUGUUUAGAUGAUAAUGUUAACGAUUUCAUUAUACUUACAAUUCAUGUUUCUGGGAAAUUAGCAAUGUUUAAAUCUAGUGUUAAGAAAUGGGCUAUAAUUCAAGACAUGCCAUCUCCUUUUGACGAUGUGAUAUUAUAUAAAGGGAAUUUUUAUGCUGUUGAUAAUACUGGUAGGACUGUGGUUGUGGGAUUGGAUUUCGAGACAAAUUUGAUUGCUAUGCCUGUUUUUGGUGGUGAUAAGAAGUUUUUGGUUGAUUCAAAGGGUGAGUUAUUGUUGAUUGAUAUGUAUUUGAGCAUUGAAUCUGAGCCAGGUUUGUCUUCUUCUUCUGCCGGUUUCGGGUUCGUCGAGGAGUAUUUUGAAAACCUUGCUGUGUAUAUGAACGAGAGGACGGUUAAGUUUAAGGUUUUUAAGUUGGAUGACGUUGAUAAGCAGUGGGUUGAAGCUAAGGAUUUGGACGAUCGCGUGUUGUUUUUAGGUGAUGGUUGCACCUUUUCUGCUUCAAUAGAAGAUUUAUCCGUGUGUAGAGGGAAUUGCAUAAUCUAUGUGGAUAAUUUCUUUCAUUCGCUCGGGGAAGAAGAUGGGGCGUCGGAGCAUUGUGAUGUAGGCGUAUUCGAUUUGGAAAGCGGUUCUAUAGGACCAUUAACAAAGGUUCCUCAAUCUUCCGAGCUAUUCUGGCCACCACCUCAUUGGAUUUCAUCCACAGCAGCAUCGGAUGUAAGUAUUUUUGUUUUGCAGUGUUGAACUUUGGGUCGAGUUUUUAUUUAUAUAUAGUUCUGUAUACUAUUGCAAUAGCCAUGAAGAUCUUUAAGUAUCAGAAUCCCUAAGUAGAAUCACGUAAAAAACUGGUGAAACUCCCCGGAAAGCUUUUUGAGUCGUGUUUAUGCUUAAUGGUAUAGGCAUGCUAGCUUCAAACUAUGUCUUGAAAUGCCAUGCAUCUAAUGUUAACUUACUGAAAAUGCCAAAGAGAAGUCUAAAUCGAAUGCGGAUCUCUUUCAUAUGCCGGGUUAAGGGGCGUUACAAAUGCUUUCAAAACAAUUGGGAAAAUCCCAUUGCCAAAUUUGAUGUGAAAAUGGCAAUAUCCCUUAUUUUCUUGGUAAAUUACACCAGCAGUCAUCCAACUAUUAAUAUAUUUUUUUGGUUAUUUAAUUAUGAAAAGUUAUGAAAUGAUCACACAAUAAUUAGUAAAUUUCUUUUUCGGUCACCCAACUAUGAUAAGUUACGAAAUGGUAUCCAACUAUUUAAUUUUAUCUUUUUUGUCGCCGGCUGGCUAACUUGACAACUUUUAAAAUUAGCUCAAUAGUAACUUUAACCGUUAAUAUUUAUCUAUUAUGUCAAUUUAGUUUUGAUUCUAAAAAAAAAAACUUAACGCUUAACAUUUACACAUGGUGUAAUUCGAACUUCUUCUUCUUCUUCUCUUCUUUUUUUUUUUUUAAAAUUUUGUGUUUUUUUAUAAUAUUGAGAGUUAAUUUUAAAAGAAAGAAAAAUGAUAAAAGUUAUUAUUUAGAGUUUUUGGGUGUUUUCAUUUUUUUGUUUAUUUUCAAUCAAAUUUAGCUAAUAAAUUAGACUUUUAGCUUUUUAGGUAAAAAGAUUACAAAGAACAAGAAAAUUGCAAAAAAAAAAAAUCUAAAUAUUGAGGGUUAGAUUUUUUAGAAUCAAGACUAAUUUGAAACAAUGUUAAAUGUUAAAGUUGCUAUUAUGCCAAUUUUAAAAGCUACAAAAAAAAUGAUAAAAUUUAAUAAUUAAAUAAUUAUUUUAUAACUUUAUAUAAUUGGGUAAUCAAAAUAAAAUUUAUUAAUAUUUAAGUGGAUAUUAAUUAAUUUAUUUAUUUUUCAGUUCUAUAAACAAACAAUUCGUGGAUGGAAUUUAAUCUCUCUCCACAAAAUCAGAGACGGGUUCUUUCUUUUUUUGGACAAUGGUUACCCAAAAUAGCGAAAAAUUGUCACAUAAAUGUUCUAUAUAAUUAGUGCCUCCACUAAACAGCUCAUCAUUUCAUAUUUAUCUAAAAUUGUGUUAUAGAUAUUUAUAGGGCAUCUUAGAUGGAUUAACGCUUCUUUUGAAAAGGAGUUAUGAUUUUGUAAUAAUCCAAAUUGAUAGUAUGGAAACAGUUCAAGUUAUUAAAGACGAGGCUUGUAAGGACUGGGGCUCAACUUUAAUAAGAAGAAAUCAUCAAUUUUUGCCUAGUAUUAGACAUUGGGACAUUUGUCACAUUUCAAAGGAAAAUAAUGGAGAAGCCGAUGAAAUUGCUAAACUAGUUCAAGAAAGGAGAGAAGGUCUUCAAGUGUUUGAAGUGUCCCCAUUAGAGAGUUAGUUUUAUUUUAUCGUAAUUUUUAGGUUUUGUAUUUUCACUAAAUUUCUUUUAAGAAAAUAGAAAAUAAUAAUUUUUGAAAACCCAAAGUACAAUUUGUGAUUUCAUCCAUAAUGUUUAUUAAUAUCUAUCAAAUUAUUUGUCCUAAUCAUCUGAAAUUUAGGCUUAGUUUGGAUUGGUGAUAUGUUUAACUGUAGUUAGUGUAAAAACAACGGUGGCGGUGACAUUAAAUACUAUAGCGACACUGUAGUGUGAGACAAAAAAUAAAUUAAAAUCACUGCACCUAAUUACCCAUCGAAACCCACCUUAAUUAGUUACAAUCUAAAAUGAAAUAUAUAUUAAUAUACUAAUAUAUUAUAUCGGUGUUUUGUUCAGUUUUAUUACGGUUUAAAUUCAAAUAUAUUUCAAAUUUCAAUCUAUUAUAUUUUAUAUUGAGUUAUUCUAAUUUUAAUUUUAAUUUUAUUAUUUGUAACUUAUACUAAGUUUUUUUUUUAAAAGUAACUGAUACUAUAUUUGUACUCGUAAAUUCUUUCGAAAAUAAAUUAUGAUAAAUUAUAACCGCACAAAUCAUGUUUUAAUAGAGCGCGUUACAAACUGAAAUCCUUUGAAUUUUUUUGAAAAAGUUUACAAGUAGAAUAUAGUAAAUCAAGUAGGACUACUAAAGUUAAAUUGAAUCAAUAUAAAUUAAAAUUAAAAUUCACACAGCUUUAGUAUACAGGACUCAAAAUCUCGACUUUUUACCAACAAUGCCAAACCUCUUAUCUGACAUGUAUUUUAAUUAUUUUUCACAAUCAAUCUAAAACUAUUCCAGAGGCAGAAUUAAAAGGAUUAAUUGAUAUAUGGAUUCCAACAGUGAUUUUAAAGAAAGCCACUCAAAACCAAGAUUUAUUGAUUCCAACAAAAGACUGAUGUUUUUAGCCAAAACUAAAACAUUUCUCAUGCAACAGAGUUUUUAUUGUAGUAGUGGAUGAACAACUGUGAAGAGCCACAGAAUUUUUUUUUUCUAAGGAUAAGCUUCGAUGACGGAUCGAACUGCACGUAUAGGUUUAACGUUGAAUCGUGUAAAACCAGAUUGUCGAAGAACAUAACUCCAUUCCUUUAAGGUCCUCUCUUUCCCUUUAUUUGUAAUAGCCAUCAGCGCCGUGUCUAGCAUCAACCCUACGGCACCUAUCUCGUCGUCUUCUUUAUCUUCUUCAAGAACUGCUUCAACGAUUACAACCUUCCCUUUAUCUUCUGGAAUGGCUUCUCGACAUUUUUUUAGGAUUUUAAUGCAUUCCUCGUCGUCCCAAUCAUGCAAUACACACUGCAAUUUGCAAUGUAUGGAUUAAUCGUAUAAGACCAUAUAAUGAAGGGAAAGAAAGUACUAACCAUGAGAAACGCUGCGUCGGCGUUUGGGAUAGACAUGAACAUGUCUCCUCCUACGUUUUCAAUGCUAUCGGAUGUUGC